GAACUGAAGAGUUUGAUCAUGGCUCAGAUUGAACGCUGGCGGCAGGCCUAACACAUGCAAGUCGAGCGGAUGAAGGGAGCUUGCUCCUGGAUUCAGCGGCGGACGGGUGAGUAAUGCCUAGGAAUCUGCCUGGUAGUGGGGGAUAACGUCCGGAAACGGGCGCUAAUACCGCAUACGUCCUGAGGGAGAAAGUGGGGGA
rnacentral:rRNA from 1 species